GACGAACGCUGGCGGCGUGCUUAACACAUGCAAGUCGAACGGAAAGGCCCUGCUUUUGUGGGGUGCUCGAGUGGCGAACGGGUGAGUAACACGUGAGUAACCUGCCCUUGACUUUGGUAUAACUUCAGGAAACUGGGGCUAAUACCGGAUAGGAGCUCCUGCUGCAUGGUGGGGGUUGGAAAGUUUCGGCGGUUGGGGAUGGACUCGCGGCUUAUCAGCUUGUUGGUGGGGUAGUGGCUUACCAAGGCUUUGACGGGUAGCCGGCCUGAGAGGGUGACCGGCGACAUUGGGACUGAGAUACGGCCCAGACUCCUACGGGAGGCAGCAGUGGGGAAUAUUGCACAAUGGGCGGAAGCCUGAUGCAGAAACGCCGCGUGCGGGAUGACGGCCUUCGGGUUGUAAACCGCUUUCGCCUGUGACGAAGCGUGAGUGACGGUAAUGGGUAAAGAAGCACCGGCUAACUACGUG
rnacentral:rRNA from 1 species